rnacentral:lncRNA from 1 species
AUGAUGAACCUUCUGCUUGUUUCUUUCACACAGAGAAAAGCUCCCAGUAACCCUCUCAAAUUAAGCAGAAUAGGAAAGAUCUCUGCACAUCAGAUCAAGAAAUGCCAGCUGACAAUGUGCUGGAGGGAAAGGUGUGGUGCUGCGGUUCCUGUCUUUGGGGUUUGUUUCAGCAGCACCAGAUUGUUGUCUGUCGAGAGAGAGAGAGCAGGGCGAGGAGGGAGUUGGGUCCCCCAGCCGUGGGUGAUCUUUGAAGGAUACGGACAGAGCAUGGAGUCUGCCGCUUUUGUGACAGUUUCCUUCUCGGGGUGUCUUCGUCCUCUGGGUUUCAUGCGCUUGUUUCCUGACUGGCUGGCUUUCCUCUCCUCCUCUGUGAUCUCCAGGGAUCCCACCUGCAGCAAUUCUUUCCUUGGAUCCCCAGCACCACGUCUACAUCAGAGAUGAAAAGGUGAUUCUCACUUGUUUGGCUCCUGGUGGUUUGAAGGUGGCAGGAUACACCUUCUUCAAAGAACAGCAAGAUCGGACCUUCAAGGAGUUGCCCAAUAGUGGAAUGGGGCCUUAUGAGAUGUUCCGUGUCAAUGAAGAUACCAUUAUACCAUUGGGAAUUACAGCUGUGUGUACUGGAUCAUGCCCUCAGGACAGGAAAUCUGGUCCGCACAGAGCAACCUUGUCUUUGUAGCCAUGGUAGGUGAGCAUCCUUGCAUUCUACUGUUUGGCGUUGUCUUGUUAAUUCGCAACACAAGAGGGAGAGGAGCAUUGUGUUCCGAAAGGAUUUCAGACUGCCUUGAAGGUAAUAAGGUACAGUGGCACCUUGGCUCUCGAACUUAAUCCGUUCCGGAAGUCCGUUCGACUACCAAAACCGUUCAAAAACCAAGGCACGGCUUCCAAUUGGCUGCGGGAGCUUCCUGCACUCAAUCUGAAUCCGCGUCGGACGUUCGGUGUCCGAAAAAUGUUCACAAACCGGAACACUUACUUCCGGGUUUGCGGCGUUCAGGAGCCAAUUUGUUCGUCGACUAAGGCGUUCGAGAACCGAGGUACCACUGUACAGUGGUACCUCGGGUUACAGAUGCUUCAGGCUACAGACGCUUCAUGUUACAAACUCUACUAACCCCGAAAUAGUACCUCGGGUUAAGAACUUUGCUUCAGGAUGAGAACAGAACAGAAAUCGCUCAGUGGCAGUGGGAGGCCCCAUUAGCUAAAGUGGUGCUUCAGGUUAAGAACAGUUUCAGGUUAAGAACCAACUUCCAGAACGAAUUAAGUUCUUAACCAAAGGUAAAGGUAAAGGGACCCCUGACCAUUAGGUCCAGUCGUGGCCAACUCUGGGGUAGCGGCGUACAGCUUCCGGGUCAUGUGGCCAGCAUGACUAAGCCGCUUCUGGCGAACCAGAGCAGCGCACGGAAACGCCGUUUACCUUCC